GCAGUAAAGGCCACCUGGCUGCAACAUUGAUUGCCUGGGAUGAUUCGGCUGAUCUGGCUUGAUAGGGAAGUAUCCCACUCCUCCCUCACCACUCCACUCACAACUAGGCAAGUGGAUCCAUCUGCAGCUGUGAUAGGUCUCCCUUGAAGAAGACAACAUUCCCCUAAUACAGGAGGACUUGUCUUAGGUCAAGGGUAUAUGAACAGCUGCACUCCCCUACUAAAACCUCCAAACAAACUCUCAAGGUCCACUAUUAUUAUUUCAACAAUCCUAAUAUCCCUUUAUUGUUG
rnacentral:snRNA from 1 species